UCUCUGUUUUGAAUCUGGAGAUGUGAGCGAGGAAGCGGUAGGCGUUCAGAUCGACGCGCCGGCAAGAGAUGGUGAAGCUAACGCUGCUCUUCUCGAGUACAUGAGCUCUGUAUUGGGAGUGAAAAGAAGACAGGUCUCACUCGGUUCAGGAUCCAAGUCUCGAGAUAAAGUUGUGAUUGUUGAGGAUAUGACACAACAAAGCGUUUUCCAAGCUUUGUCCGAAGCAUCAAAACCUGCCUAAUGAUCCCCUCAAGCCUGUAACUUACAUGGAGGAACCAAAUCACCAAAAGCUAAAUGGUUAUUGGUAAAGGUACGAAUGCUAUAAAGAGCUUCAGGAUUUGUAAUAGAGAUCAUUGUUGGAUGUUAUACUAUAAUGAUUAUAUGCAAUGUAAAUCUGUAGUCUGACUAUUGCUUGUUAUUUAUCUAAGUUGUCCCAAUUGAUCAGUGAAUGAUUACUUUUACCAUGGAUUUAGGAUGGUUUCUAUGUGA